rnacentral:rRNA from 1 species
AUUGAACGCUGGCGGCAGGCCUAACACAUGCAAGUCGAACGAUCGGCGGACGGGUGAGUACUGUCUGGGGAACUGCCCGAUGGAGGGGGAUAACUACUGGAAACGGUGGCUAAUACCGCAUACUAUCGGAUGUACCCAGAUGGGAUUAGCUAGGAGGUGGGGUAAAGGCUCAACUAGGCGACGAUCCCUAGCUGGUCUGAGCGGAUGACCAGGCAAACUGGAACUGAGACACGGUCCAGACUACUACGGGAGGCAGCAGUGGGGAAUAUUGCACAAUGGGCGCAAGCCGGAUGCAGCCAUGCCGCGUGUAUGAAGAAGGCCUUAGGGUUGUAAAGUACUUUCAGCGGGGAGGCGUUACCCGCAGAAGAAGCACCGGCUAACUCCGUGCCAGCAGCCGCGGUAAUAC